rnacentral:rRNA from 1 species
AUUGAACGCUGGCGGCAGGCCUAACACAUGCAAGUCGGACGAGUGGCGGACGGGUGAGUAAUGUCUGGGAAACUGCCUGAUGGAGGGGGAUAACUACUGGAAACGGUAGCUAAUACCGCAUACAAUCAGAUGUGCACAGAUGGGAUUAGCUUGUUGGUGGGGUAACGGCUCACCAAGGCGACAGUCCCUAGAUGGGAUGAGAGCAUGACAAGCCACACUGUAACUGAUACACGGUCCAGCCUCCUACGGGAGGCAGAAGUGGGGAAGAUUGCACAAUGGGCGCAAGCCUGCUGCAGCACCGCCGCGUGUAUGAAGAAGGCCGUCGGGUUGUAAAGUACUUUCAGCCGGGAUGCGUUACCCGCAGAAGAAGCACCGGCUAACUCCGUGCCAGCAGCCGCGGUAAUUC